GACGAACGCUGGCGGCGUGCUUAACACAUGCAAGUCGAACGAAGUGGCGAACGGGUGAGUAACGCGUGAUCACCCUGCCCUUCAGAGGGGGACAACCGUUGGAAACGACUGCUAAUACCGCAUACUGAAGGAGGGGAUUGCGUCUGAUUAGCUAGUUGGAGGGGUAACGGCCCACCAAGGCGAUGAUCAGUUGCCGGUCGGGGAGGAGGAACGGCCACAUUGGGACUGAGAAACGGCCCAGACUCCUACGGGAGGCAGCAGUGGGGAAUCUUCCGAAAUGGACGAAAGUCUGACGGAGCAAAGCCGCGGGAGUGAUGACGGCCUUCGGGUUGUAAAGCUCUGUUAAUCGGGACGCGGUACCGGAAUAGAAAGCCACGGCUAACUACGUGCCAGCAGCCGCGGUAAUAC
rnacentral:rRNA from 1 species